AUACUUACCUGGACGGGGUCGAUGGGUGAUCAAGAAGGCCCAUGGCCUAGGUUGGCGACCUCCAUUGCACUAGGGAGGGGUGCCCGCCUAACAUCUCCCCUAGUGGGAGAGUGUACGUCAUAAUUUGUGCUAGCGGGGGUACGCGUUCGCGCGGCCCCUA
rnacentral:snRNA from 1 species